GGAGUGUGGAGACACUGGUAUGCCACACAAGUGAAGUGUAGAAGUACAUUUCACUAAACGUGACCAAUUCCGGAACGCUCUACUGUCGAGAGAUGUUCCAAGUGGAUAUGGGUAUAAGUUUGGCCCUCUGACCUGAGACCGCAACCUGUGACUAGCAAGCAACUCACUGUACUUUGGUACCGGACUACCUAAAUUUCUAAUUCAGUGAC
rnacentral:lncRNA from 1 species